UUAAAAAUAAGCUAAGAUAAGCUUUUGGGCUCAUACCCCAAAUAUAAAGAAUUUCUUUUUUUUAAA
rnacentral:tRNA from 1 species